CUAGGGACGCGCAUUUCAAGCGCCCGUGUCGUCGGGUCAAACCGGCGACUGCGUUGGCGUUGCGGGCUCGGUCCGUCGGUGCCACUAAAAGCACUGGCGUGUCAACCGGCCCGCCCGUCCCCUCCUUCUGGAUUCCCGUUCCUGCUAUUGAGUUAGGGGGGACGUCACAGGGGGCUCAUCGUCGUCAUGCAAAUGGCGGCGGUGGGUCCCUGGGGCCCAAAUCGUUUACCGUGAAAAAAUUAGAGUGUUCAAAGCAGGCAGAUCCAAUUCUCUGCCACCGAAUACAUUAGCAUGGGAUAAUGGAAUAGGACCCUGUCCUCCUAUUUUCAGUUGGUUUUGGCAGCGCGAGGACUAGGGUAAUGAUUAAUAGGGAUAGUUGGGGGCAUUAAUAUUUAAUUGUCAGAGGUGAAAUUCUUGGAUUUAUGAAAGAUUAACUUCUGCGAAAGCAUCUGCCAAGGAUGUUUUCAUUAAUCAAGAACGAAAGUUAGGGGAUCGAAGACGAUCAGAUACCGUCGUAGUCUUAACCAUAAACGAUGCCGACCAGCGAUUAGGA
rnacentral:rRNA from 1 species